rnacentral:rRNA from 1 species
ACUCAAAUGAAUAGACGGGGGCCCGCACAAGCGGUGGAGCAUGUGGUUUAAUUCGUCACUAACCGAAGAACCUUACCAGGGUUUGACAUCCGCUGACAACUCCUGAAAGGGAGCCUUCCCCGCAAGGGGACAGCGAGACAGGUGUUGCAUGGCUGUCGUCAGCUCGUGUCGUGAGAUGUUGGGUUAAGUCCCGCAACGAGCGCAACCCUCACCUCGUGUUGCUAAGUGAAAGCUGCACUCACGAGGAACUGCCCGGGCAACCGGGAGGAAGGUGGGGAUGACGUCAAGUCGGCAUGGCCCUUACGCCCUGGGCUACACACAUGCUACAAUGGCCGGUACAGAGGGCUGCAAGAGCGCAAGCUGGAGCCAAUCCCAAAAAGCCGGUCCCAGUUCGGAUUGGGGUCUGCAACUCGACCCCAUGAAGUCGGAAUCGCUAGUAACCGCCGGUCAGCUAAACGGCGGUGAAUACGUUCCCGGGCCUUGUACACACCGCCCGU